GCCUGGAUAGAUCAGUUGGAAGAGCAUGGGGCUGAAAACUCCAAGGUUGCAGAUUCAACCCCUGUAUGGGACA